rnacentral:rRNA from 1 species
UCUGGCGGCAGUAGCGCGGUGGUCCCACCUGACCCCAUGCCGAACUCAGAAGUGAAACGCCGUAGCGCCGAUGGUAGUGUGGGGGUCUCCCCAUGCGAGAGUAGGGAACUGCCAGAC